rnacentral:rRNA from 1 species
AGUCGAACGGAAAGGCCCGCCACCUUGGUGGUGGGUACUCGAGUGGCGAACGGGUGAGUAACACGUGGGUGAUCUGCCCCGCACUGUGGGAUAAGCCUGGGAAACUGGGUCUAAUACCACAUACGACCAUGGCGUAGGGGUCAUGGUGGAAAGCUUUAUUGCGGUGUGGGAUGAGCCCGCGGCCUAUCAGCUUGUUGGUGGGGUAAUGGCCUACCAAGGCGGCGACGGGUAGCCGGCCUGAGAGGGUGGACGGCCACAUUGGGACUGAGACACGGCCCAGACUCCUACGGGAGGCAGCAGUGGGGAAUAUUGCACAAUGGGCGCAAGCCUGAUGCAGCGACGCCGCGUGGGGGAUGGAAGGCCUUCGGGUUGUAAACUCCUUUCGCCCGGGACGAAGCCCACCUGGUGGGUGACGGUACCGUGGAGAAGAAGCACCGGCUAACUACGUGCCAGCAGCCGCGGUAAUACGUAGGGUGCAAGCGUUGUCCGGAUUUACUGGGCGUAAAGAGCUCGUAGGUGGUGUGUCGCGUCGUCUGUGAAAUUCCGGGGCUUAACUCCGGGCGUGCAGGCGAUACGGGCACGACUAGAGUGCUGUAGGGGUAACUGGAAUUCCUGGUGUAGCGGUGAAAUGCGCAGAUAUCAGGAGGAACACCGAUGGCGAAGGCAGGUUACUGGGCAGUUACUGACGCUGAGGAGCGAAAGCAUGGGGAGCGAACAGGAUUAGAUACCCUGGUAGUCCAUGCUGUAAACGGUGGGCGCUAGGUGUGGGCUGUGUGUUUGCAGUCUGUGCCGUAGCUAACGCAUUAAGCGCCCCGCCUGGGGAGUACGGCCGCAAGGCUAAAACUCAAAGGAAUUGACGGGGGC